GAUGAACGCUGGCGGCGUGCCUAAUACAUGCAAGUCGAACGGGGAGUAGCAAUACUCUUAGUGGCGAACGGGGGAGUAACGCGUUGGUACCUGCCCCGAAGCGGGGGAUAACGGACCGAAAGGUCCGCUAAUACCCCAUGUGCUCGGUAACGAGUAAAGGUGAAAAACACUUUGGGAGGGGCAUGCGUCCCAUCAGCUAGUUGGUAAGGUAACGGCUUACCAAGGCGGUGACGGGUAGGGGACCUGAGAGGGUGGCCCCCCACAAUGGAACUGAAACACGGUCCAUACCCCUGCGGGUGGGAGGAGUAGGGAAUAUUGGUAAUGGGCGCAAGCCUGAACAAGCAACGCCGCGUGUGCGAUGACGGCCUUGGGGUUGUAAAGCACUUUUGACGGGGACGAGGAAGGACGGUACCGGUCGAAUCAGCCUCGGCUAACUACGUG
rnacentral:rRNA from 1 species